rnacentral:rRNA from 1 species
AACGAACGCUGGCGGCAUGCUUAACACAUGCAAGUCGAACGUGAAGCACCCUUCGGGGUGUGGAAAGUGGCGGACGGGUGAGUAACGCGUAGGAACUUACCCAGGGGUACGGAAUAACUCAUGGAAACGUGUGCUAAUACCGUAUAAUGGCUUCGGCCCAAAGAUUUAUCGCCCCUGGAUAGGCCUGCGUCGGAUUAGGUAGUUGGUGGGGUAACGGCCUACCAAGCCUGCGAUCCGUAGCUGGUCUGAGAGGAUGAUCAGCCACACUGGGACUGAGACACGGCCCAG